rnacentral:lncRNA from 1 species
UGUAAUUGCUAGUAUUUUCACAUUGUUGAUGGUGUGUAUUAUAUAUUACUAUAUAUAGCUGAUGAUGGUUCGGCUCGGAUUGGGAGCCCAACCCAAGCGACCAAUUAGACUACAUUGGGAGCGUAUUUGGGCCGUAUCCAUCCCCGGUAGCAGCUCUAACCAAGCAAAAUGGAUUGGCGCUGCUAGGCUCGCGUCCCCCACGGCUUUGAAGGGGCCGUCGAGCUUUGGGGAAUCCCUCCGCGCGCCAUGGCCUCCGCCUGGGAAGAAUUCUCCGAACCCGGUAUUCCCCUCCUCUCCUCUGUCGGUUUCUCUUUUUGUUUCGUUUAAUCGCUCGAGAAAACGGGUCCAGAAUUGCGAGAAACGUCUUCUGUCGUCUUUCCAUUAUUACUUCGUGCUCUGGACGGAAGUUUAUGGAGGCUUUCUGCCCUAGAUCGCUUCUCUUGCUUUUUAGUGAACGGCGUGGUUAAUCGAGAUCAAGCGCCGGUGGAUAGGAUAGGGCAUGAUUCUACAUUGAGAUUGCUCAAGCUUAGGGUUGUUAGUAAAAUACGAUGAUGAUGAGGACGUCCAAGGAAUCGUUCCACAUCGCUAGAGAGCCGGACGAUAUAUAUUAGGUCUGUGGCUUAGACUUUCGUUGAGACAUUCUCUCAAACACUUCCCUUUCUUCCACUUCCAAAGAUUAUUAGAUACCGUUCUUUCUUAGAAGUUAAUCAUAUCUUAGUGGUUAUGAAUAACUGAUGCUAUUUGUUUUCAGCAUGCAUUAAUCUGCGGCUAAUUGUUAUCAGAUUUAGAUACCAGUCACGAAAAAUCGACAAGAAUUUCUGCAAGUAUGGUGCUGUGACCGGAACAUUAGUUUUGUUGUGACCAUGUCACAACUUGAGCACAUACUUGUGGAAAUAUAAAGAUAGUUAACUAAGGUCCUUACACUUUGUUGGAUCCAAGAUUUUUGGAGUCUACUCGAUUCAUUAAACACAGGCUUGGAUAGAAAAAUAGGCGCCUAAUUCUCGGGUAGCUUAGGUACUUAGCCGGGUUAGUAUACUAUAAAAUUUAUAGGCACCUAUCCCUUUGUCAUUUUAUUGUUGAACAACAACAACAACAGCAAUGGGUUGUGUUCUUUUUCUCUACUAAACCAUUUAAAUCAGAUUCAAGUGCUUUAAGUAGGAUUUGGGAUGAGUUCGGGCUUGAGUGAAAUCUGUGAGUUCUGAACCAUUAGCCAGGUUUAGCCAUUUUGUCCAGAUUUAUUACGACUUCUUGGAAAUAAAGUGCAUUGUUGACAUUUGACUCCUUGGUGGCAGUUCUUUACUUUUCUUGAUCUUUUAUGACUGUAGAGGUUGAAGUAGGAAAGAUGCUGUCUAUGAUGGGCAGGUCAUGGCUCAAACUUCAAACAUGUUUACCACAACAGUCUUGGAAUAGAAUAGCAAAAGAAUCAAAUGAAGUCUUCCUAACUGUCAAAUUUUAUAUUGGCACUCUGAGCAGAUUCUCUUUGGGAAAGAACCCACUGAAACCCGGUUUUAUAGAUGAAGAUGGUGGCACAGCAAGUUAAGUUAGGUUACCCCUGCAAUGGUCCACCUUCCCUUCAAGAUCUUUCAGGAGGAUUGUGCAUGCAAGGGUGUAGCACUCCAUGAGACCUGAUGGCCUUCGAAAGAACUUCCACGUCUAGCAUCAUGAACUCAUUCAAUUCCAUUGAAUGAGGAAUCAUGAUUGUUUGUGUAUUUAUUUUUCCAUGGUCUGUUUCUACACUCAUCUCUGUUUCUGUUGAGUAAUGUCUCACACAUAGUUCCUGCAUUAAAAGGGGAGAACAAGGAGGACCACAUUGAAUGGGAAGACUGAGUGGGAAUGAUAUUUGCUUGGGCUUGGGAGCUUUGGUACACAAGCAAACAUGAGUGGAGACCCUUUGGGUUUUUCUUUUUCACCUACGUUGCACUUUAUGCAAUCAUAGGUUUUUCAUGAGCCUCCAAUAUUAUAUAGACCCAAAACACCAUGGAAGGGACCUUUUUGAUGGAACCAAUGGAUUAGCCAUGAUUUUGUCUCCAUCUCAAAGUUGGAAGGUCCAUGAUGAUACCCUUCAAAACCAUUUAUUUAUAAGAGGACAACUUGAGCCCGCACUACUGUAAGCACAACAAGUGUCACCAUGAUCUAAUGAAGUCUACCUGUAAUUCACAUAGCACUUUCUUCUUGUUAAGAGCUACUAGAAAAGGGAUUGGUGGGAGUGAAGUAGGCCUGAAGUUAGGUUAUGCUUUGGCCAGUGGGACAGAGAUGUCCUGCUGAAGGUCUCGAGAUACAUGUCUACAAGGCUAGAUUAGGGUUUGGGCCUCCUUUAAUAAGGGCAUUUUAUUCCAUAGGGUGAGCUGAAGGCUAAGGGUUAAGACCUAGAGUAGUUGCCAAGUUUUUGGAAGGCCACAAAUGAGAGGCAUGACACAGUUUUUGACAAGCUAGUUAUUCUUAUCUGUUUGGAUAACAAGUGCUUUCAAAGUCCAAACAGGUGAGGCAUAUGGUCUAGACCAUAGGCUUAGUCUAGAUGGUACAUCUAAAAGCAUUAGGACACCAGAGAUUUAUACACAACAAGAGGAAGAAGUUGGCUCAGGCAUUGCUGCUACAAACCC